AGUCAAGUAAUUAAGUGCAUGUGGUGGAUGCCUUGGCAGUCAGAGGCGAUGAAAGACGUGAUAGCCUGCGAAAAGCUCCGGGGAGGCGGCAAAUAUCCUUUGAUCCGGAGAUGUCUGAAUGGGGGAACCCACCUACUUUAAGGUAGGUAUUGCAACAUGAAUACAUAGUGUUGCAAGGCGAACGAGGGGAAGUGAAACAUCUCAGUACCCUUAGGAAAAGAAAUCAAUUGAGAUUCCCUCAGUAGCGGCGAGCGAACGGGGAUCAGCCCAUUAAGUUAUGUGUGUUUUAGUGGAACGCUCUGGGAAGUGCGAACGUAGAGGGUGAUAUUCCCGUACACGAAAGGGCACACAUAAUGAUGACGAGUAGGGCGAGGCACGUGAAACCUUGUCUGAAUAUGGGGGGACCAUCCUCCAAGGCUAAAUACUCCUGACUGACCGAUAGUGAACCAGUACCGUGAGGGAAAGGCGAAAAGAACCCCUGUGAGGGGAGUGAAAUAGAUCCUGAAACCGCAUGCAUACAAGCAGUGGGAGCACCUUCGUGGUGUGACUGCGUACCUUUUGUAUAAUGGGUCAGCGACUUAUAUUCAGUAGCGAGGUUAACCGUAUAGGGGAGCCGUAGAGAAAUCGAGUCUUAAUAGGGCGUUUAGUUGCUGGGUAUAGACCCGAAACCAGGCGAUCUAUCCAUGAGCAGGUUGAAGGUUGGGUAACACUAACUGGAGGACCGAACCCACUGUCGUUGAAAAGCCAGGGGAUGACUUGUGGAUAGGGGUGAAAGGCUAAUCAAGCCUGGUGAUAGCUGGUUCUCCCCGAAAGCUAUUUAGGUAGCGCCUCGGACGAAUACCAUAGGGGGUAGAGCACUGUUUCGGCUAGGGGGUCAUCCCGACUUACCAAACCGAUGCAAACUCCGAAUACCUAUGAGUACUAUCCGGGAGACAGACUGCGGGUGCUAACGUCCGUAGUCAAGAGGAAAACAAUCCAGACCGCCAGCUAAGGCCCCAAAAUCAUAGUUAAGUGGGAAACGAUGUGGGAAGGCAUAGACAGCUAGGAGGUUGGCUUAGAAGCAGCCACCCUUUAAAGAAAGCGUAAUAGCUCACUAGUCGAGUCGGCCUGCGCGGAAGAUGUAACGGGGCUAAAACUAUGUGCCGAAGCUGCGGAUGUAUACUUUGUAUACGUGGUAGGGGAGCGUUCUGUAAGCCGAUGAAGGUGUGUUGAGAAGCAUGCUGGAGGUAUCAGAAGUGCGAAUGCUGACGUGAGUAACGACAAAACGGGUGAAAAACCCGUUCGCCGAAAGACCAAGGGUUCCAGUCCAACGUUAAUCGGGGCUGGGUGAGUCGACCCCUAAGGCGAGGCCGAAAGGCGUAGUCGAUGGGAAAAUGGUUAAUAUUCCAUUACUUCUGUGUAAUGCGAUGAGAGGACGGAGAAGGCUAAAUCAGCCUGGCGUUGGUUGUCCAGGUGAAAGGAUGUAGGCAUGUAUCUUAGGCAAAUCCGGGGUACUCUAUGCUGAGAUCUGAUAGCAAGCUGUACUUGUACAGCGAAGUGGUUGAUGCCAUGCUUCCAGGAAAAGUCUCUAAGCUUCAGUUACACAGGAAUCGUACCCGAAACCGACACAGGUGGUCAGGUCGAGUAGACCAAGGCGCUUGAGAGAACUCUGCUGAAGGAACUAGGCAAAAUGGUACCGUAACUUCGGGAGAAGGUACGCUGUUGUUGGUGAUGGAACUCGCUUCCUGAGCUGACGACAGCCGCAGAAACCAGGCCGCUGCAACUGUUUAUUAAAAACAUAGCACUCUGCAAACACGAAAGUGGACGUAUAGGGUGUGAUGCCUGCCCGGUGCUGGAAGGUUAAUUGAUGGGGUUAGCGUAAGCGAAGCUCUUGAUCGAAGCCCCAGUAAACGGCGGCCGUAACUAUAACGGUCCUAAGGUAGCGAAAUUCCUUGUCGGGUAAGUUCCGACCUGCACGAAUGGCAUAAUGAUGGCGGCGCUGUCUCCAGCAGAGGCUCAGUGAAAUCGAAAUCGCUGUGAAGAUGCAGUGUACCCGCGGCUAGACGGAAAGACCCCGUGAACCUUUACUGCAGCUUGACACUGAACUUUGACCUUACUUGUGUAGGAUAGGUGGGAGGCUUUGAAGCUGGAACGCUAGUUCCAGUGGAGCCGUCCUUGAAAUACCACCCUGGUAAUGUUGAGGUUCUAACUCUGUCCCGUGAUCCGGGACGAGGACCGUGUCUGGUGGGUAGUUUGACUGGGGCGGUCUCCUCCUAAAGAGUAACGGAGGAGUACGAAGGUGCGCUCAGCGUGGUCGGAAAUCACGCGUAGAGUAUAAAGGCAAAAGCGCGCUUAACUGCGAGACCCACAAGUCGAGCAGGUACGAAAGUAGGUCUUAGUGAUCCGGUGGUUCUGUAUGGAAGGGCCAUCGCUCAACGGAUAAAAGGUACUCUGGGGAUAACAGGCUGAUACCGCCCAAGAGUUCAUAUCGACGGCGGUGUUUGGCACCUCGAUGUCGGCUCAUCUCAUCCUGGGGCUGAAGCAGGUCCCAAGGGUAUGGCUGUUCGCCAUUUAAAGAGGUACGCGAGCUGGGUUUAGAACGUCGUGAGACAGUUCGGUCCCUAUCUACCGUGGGCGCUGGAAAUUUGAGAGGAUCUGCUCCUAGUACGAGAGGACCAGAGUGGACGAACCUCUGGUGUACCGGUUGUGACGCCAGUCGCAUCGCCGGGUAGCUAUGUUCGGAAGGGAUAACCGCUGAAAGCAUCUAAGCGGGAAGCCUACCUCAAGAUAAGAUUUCCCUAGGACUUUAUGUCCUCUAAAGAG
rnacentral:rRNA from 1 species